GAAACUACAGUUUUAGAAUAUCUGAUUUGCAUUCAGAAGGAGCUUGUAUGGCUAGUUUUA
rnacentral:tRNA from 1 species